UAGGAUUCCUGAGAGAGCACUAAGGGAAAUGCGUAUUUAAGACUCAUUCUUAUUCUAAUUAAGAAUUGUUCUUACCACAUCCCAAAGGUCACUGUCACAGCAAUUGCACUGUUUUGUAUAUUGAUGAAUUAUAUAUGGUAAAUACGAAUACUAGAAA